rnacentral:RNase_P_RNA from 1 species
CAGGGUAAGCGGAUGAUUGCCCGGCCGCGCCUUCGGGCAAAGCGGGGAGGAAAGUCCGGACUCCAAAGUACUUUUUUGUACUGAAAAAUGGCAAUGGAUAACGUCCAUCAAGAGCAAUCUUAGGGAAAGUGCCACAGAGACAAUACUAGCCGCCGCUUUGCGGCGGUGAAAGGUGAAAAGUUUCCCGGUGUUUAGGUUAUUUAGGAUAUCCGUUUAACUUAAGCUGCGGGAUUCGUCUUCCGGCGACGGAAUGACGCGGUAAACCCUGCCUGGAGCAAGAGCAAACUAUGCCGCAUUUUGCGGCAUAAUGAAAAGUGGCUCGCUUGAGCCUGCCAGCAAUGUUAGGCCCAGAUAGAUAAUCAUCUCCCGUCAUGAUAUGAUCGGGAACAGAAUCCGGCUUACAGCUUGCCCUGAUAU